rnacentral:rRNA from 1 species
AUUGAACGCUGGCGGCGUGCCUAACACAUGCAAGUCGAGCGGUAACAGGUGUAGCAAUACAUGCUGACGAGCGGCGAACGGGUGAGUAAUGCUUCGGAAUCUACCCAAUGGUGGGGAAUAACCAGCCGAAAGGUUGGCUAAUACCGCAUACGUCCCACGGGAGAAAGCAGGGGAUCGCAAGACCUUGCGCCAAUGGAUGAGCCGAAGUCGGAUUAGCUAGUUGGAGGGUAACGGCCUACCAAGGCGACGAUCCGUAGCUGGUCUGAGAGGACGACCAGCCACACUGGGACUGAGACACGGCCCAGACUCCUACGGGAGGCAGCAGUGGGGAAUAUUGGACAAUGGGGGAAACCCUGAUCCAGCGACGCCGCGUGUGUGAAGAAGGCCUGCGGGG